AACAAAAAUCCGACUGCUGCCCCUUUCUUUAAUUUCGUCAUCCUCGCCGCCCGCUUUCCGAAGUCCGUCCCUGUGCCUGCCGCAGUCCCCGUCCGCCGCCGCCCGCCAUUGCGUUCGCCUCCCUCCUUCCUAUACCUGUCGCGGCGAGCUUCCCAGCUAAUCAUGCCCCAUUCAGUCGGCUCGUGCGGCGGCUUGCGUUGGAUGAGGCAUGCGCGUCGUCAUUGUGCGGCGACGGCCUUCCUCUCCCUCACUUUUUCUCCCUUCCCUCCCACCCUAAAUGACUAAAUCCGACCUCAAGUGAGCUUCCCGGCCUUCCCCGUUGACCGCUGCGUGCUGCUAGCCUGCUACCGAGGCCAUGGAGGAACGCUGGUGUUGACGGGAGAUGCAAAGCCGCCAACCCCUUAAGGCUUGCUGGAAGCAUAUGGAGCUUUUGAACACCACGAGGUCGUACCCCUCCGGGCUGGGCGAGCACGGCGGGAAAGUGGCCGCCAUUGUCAACAAGCGGACAGCUCAGGAGCUCCAUCGAGUUGCAGCUAGCAGAGCAACUCUGCAAUACCAUGGAUCAGGUGAUAUCUUUGUAUAAUUGUAUAAAAAGCGAGGUGACAUUAUUUUCUACUUCAACCUGCUUCUGCAUUGGAUUAGUUGGCUCUCAUCUGCCAAAUUGUUGUUCGAAAGUAUCGGUGGCUCCAUAUGUUUCCAAUUCUUAUCAAUCUAAGGAACUUUUCCAAAAAUACCAAGGUACAAUAUUAUAUACAGAUGCUUACAUAGCAUGACUUCGUCACCAUGGAAUUUACAAUUGUCAAUGCAUAUUUCUCAUUCGUAUUUGCAAAAAGGAAAAAAAAACUAUCAUUAAAGUAGUUGCAAGUUGUAUCAAUACGACAUGGUUACUUGCAUUUGUAGGAAUUUUCUAUUUAGUUAUAGGAAGGUCCUUUAAUCGAUCUUAGGUCAUUUCAAUGUAUCCAACUAUCUUCAGAUUAUAUUCCCUUUGGGGGAUUGUCUAUCUUAGAAUCACGACAUGGUUUUGAGGUACUGAAAGGGUUUUAUUCUUUAUUGAAAUGAUUUGUCAUUUCUUACAUUAUGUCGUAGUACUGAGAAUCACCGGUUCUUGGUAUUCUUCUAAUCCCCUCUUUUCGGAAUUAAUUACAAUGGUACAAGAUAUGGUCAAAUUGGAAAAUGUUAGAUGUUAGCACCAGUUCCAGUGCUUUAUCCGAUCUGUUCAACCUCCCAACUUUUUGCCAUGGUUGAUUAUUCAUUUCCCUUAUAUGUGUAUUUGUUACAGCAAGGAGUUCACCGCUUAGCCUUUUCCAAAAGAAUCAUGAUCUAGGGUUCAACAAAUUACUGAAUUGAGAUUCCGUUUCAUUGAACAUACUUAUUUUUAGGUACCAUUCAUGUUGCUAAUUCUGAACCCAUUGGUAUUUUGAUUUUCCUUGACUAACUUUAUUUUGUAGAACAAAUGCUCCAGGUAGCGCUUUUAAAAAGAUUACCAGGGAACGUGCAUCCUAUUUCAGAAGCAUAUUUGUUGCUUCAACAGUCAACACAACCCAGUGAGUGCAUUUUUCAUCCUGGCCUGUUUCAUCUUGCAUCCCAAUGUCUCAUACCAUAUUACUGCAAAGAUGGAGUCAUAAUGGUCAAGAUUGCUGAGAUGUAGUUUGGCUAAUCACAUUGCAGGGGCGCAAUGAUACAGUAGAUGCAUGUAAAACUGAAAAGCAGUAUACGCUGAUUUUAGACAUGCUUAUGAUGCAUAUACCUUUAGAUCUUGACAAGUUUCCAUUGCAGUGAGUGUAAAUUUUAGCUGCCAAUAUGAUUUCCUGUCCAGAUUCAGUUAGUCAAGGGUGCAAUGAUGUAAUAAAUUUAUUGUAGCAUAUAUUAGGAUCCAUUUAGGUUGAUGUUCUGCAGAUGCAAUAUUCUUUAUUUUGCUGUUUGAUUCUGUUAUGAUAUAACAUUCAUUUCUCAGUCACCACUUUAUAUAUUUUAUUUCUGUCAUGUUCAUUAGGAAUGCCUCCAUUUUAUUUCCAUGCAUAACUAAAGUUUGUUUUCUGAAGUCUAAUGCAUAGAUAUGUAUUCAAAAGAAUUAAGAAGGUGUUCCUUACAUUCAGUUUGCUUCCUUAUUGUGAGAAGCUACUUUCAUUUUCAAAUCUUCUACUAAUUAUUUUGCCAAGGGACAAUGUAGCUGUUUCUAUGAUUUGAUUUCCCCUCUUUUUGUUUGCAUAAGGGGACAGUGAAUUCUGUGUUCUUGGUUUAUCUUAGAAUAUAAUUAUUCAGAAAAGGAAGAUAUCUGCCAGGUUUUUUUUCAUCAUUUAACACAUCUGUACCUAAUGCGCAAAAUUAAUAUGAAUGCAUAAUGGAAACAUGCAAGCAACAUCUCAACCGAUUAACUGAUAGAAUAGUUUGACCUCCUGUCCAAACUUAAUCAUUUAGGGGUGCAUUCAAGUAAUAAAUUUAGCGUACCAUAGGUUAGGGUUCAUUUAGACUGAAUGUUCCACAGAAAUAUAAUGUGUUCUGCCAUUGGAUUUUGCCUUGAUUUGGCAUUCAUUUCUCGAUGAUAACUGUGUGUAUUAUGUUUGUAUCCUCAACUACGUCUACGUGCUCAAGGCAUUGCACAGAGAUUUGCUUCCAAAGAAUUAAGAUGGUGUUUCUUACAUUCAGUUUGUUGCUUAUUGUGGGAAGCUAAUUCUAUUUUCAACUACACAGAAUAAUAUAUCCUUGGCAAUACUUGGAGAAGAUAUAAGUUGAAGCCGUCAGGACAACCAAGAAACUUUUGAAAUGUCCACCAAUGCGAUAUGGAAUUUUUUUUUGAAAGCUAUACAACCGGGGAAGCUCCCACUAUGGUAAAGUAUAUACUGAUAAGAAAAGAAAAUAAAAUGUACAAAAGUCCUCUAACCACACAGUGCUGUGGCACCAUAGAAGAAGAAAACCUCGGAGAGGGAUACUUAGGGAAGAAAGAAAGCCUUAGUUCUUAGCUAAAGAUGAACACUAUCAAAGCGAUAUGGAAUUUGACUACUUCGAUUAGUACACGCCUAUUCCCUAAUUACGUUUGGGGGUCCUAAAAUCCUCAACUCGCAUAGUGUGUUUCACGGAUUUCAUUUAGUACGAUUUGUUUGUUCCAAUUUGUUUGGUUUCCAACUUUUCAUACAGAAAAGUGACACCACGCACUAAGAUAGAUGGGGUCUGUAAAUAUUUUCCUUUUCAUUUAGUACUCUGUCAGUUUAUUUUUUUUUAAUUUUGCCAAGAAGGAGGUGAUACCGUGCUGGUGUGGCAGAUCAUAUAUAGUAGUGUCCUGUCAUUGUCGAUGUAUAUGUUGAAUGACCCUGUAUAUAUGUUCCUCGGAUGCUUUUUAUUUUGCUAUGCAAUGCACUGAUACUCAAAAUAAAUUUACUUAA